GCGGCGGCUGUUCGGGAUGGCAACGGGUGGGGCGGUGGAAGCGGUGUUGCGAGGGUGAAGGGCAGCGAGGCCGAGACCGAGCCGCGCGCGCGCUCCGGAGAUCAACAAACUCUCCGAGGAAACAAGUAUAAACUUACCGAUCAACGACAUACAAUCAUCAAUCAAACUUAAAAUAUAUUCUAAAUGGCAACAUUUUUGGGAUACCGUUCCCCCCACCAAUAAACUCAAGACAACAAAAAGGGAUACAAAUAAAUGGAACUCACCUUAUCACCUUAACAGACGACAAGAAGUCGCAAUCACUAGAUGUAAAAUCGGGYACACAUUCUCUACUCAUUCCUACCUCAUCAACAAAAGUCCCCCACCCACCUGCGAUGAAUGCCACGCUGACCUCACUGUCCAACACAUAAUUUUACAUUGCUCAAAAUACCGCCACAUACGAAACCACCUGGGAAUACCACAGAAUAUUGAAGAAGCCCUUAAUCAAAAAAAUAUCAAUAAAAUUAUCUUAUUUCUAACUAAUACUAACCUUAUUAAUAAUUUUUAACAUUGUAUAAAUCCUGCUCCGUAUUUUAAGUCCCUAAAAUUUGUAAAAAUUGUAAUUAACCUUUCUUUUUUUUUUCUUUCUUCUGUACCAACUUUACUUAUCAGUUACACUGUAAACCUACUCCAGGCCAAUGACCGGCGAUGUCGAAGCCUUAUUUCUGAUAAAAAAAAAAAAAAAAGCACAAACUUACUUCCAGUGGAGGGAUGCCUGAAAAGAAUUGGUUUCAUUGUCAGGCUAAAGAAAUUGCAGAAUAUCGAAUCCUAAGAAGAUCUAAACCUCAGAAUAAUAUGUAUAAUAGAUAAAUAUGUGGUGAUUAGGGCUCAUACGUCAAUAAUAUAAUUAUUAAAAUUGAAG